rfam:Nitratiruptor tergarcus DSM 16512 genome assembly, contig: NitteDRAFT_scaffold1.1
CUGGCGCAGCGGAUAGCUACUUGGAAAUCCAAGAGGAAAGUCCGAGCUGCAGUGAGGCAGGGUUCCACCUAACGGGUGGCCGGUGAAAGCCGAGGGAAAGUGCAACAGAAAAUAAACCGCCGAUGGCCUUUUGGCACAGGCAAGGGUGAAAGGGUGAGGUAAGAGCUCACCGCUUCUGUGGUAACACAGAAGGCAGUGUAAACCCAACCCGCAGCAAGUCGCACCUGGUUGAAGCCUCACGUUACGAGUGCGACGCUUGAGCUUUAUGGUGACAUAAAGCCUAGAUAAAUUGCUAUCCAAGACAGAACUCGGCUUACAGCUGCGCCUCUAUA